UGUAAGCGUAUACCAAAGUUGUUGCAGUUAAAACGCUCGUAGUCGGAAUUUGGCAGUUCCGGAUGUGUGCACGUCGUGUGCGCACUUCGCGGGGAUUGCUUUUGUGGUCUUGCGUAGGAUGAGGCACUUUUAUUAGUGAACGUCCUCACGCAACCACUUUUUACUGUGAGAAAAUCAGAGUGCUCGAAGCAGGCAUUUGCCGUGAAUGUAUUAGCAUGGAAUAAUAGAAUAGGACUUGGUUCUAUUUUGUUGGUUUGUUGGGACUGAGUAAUGAUUAAGAGGGACAGUUGGGGGCAUUUGUAUUUCGGCGCUAGAGGUGAAAUUCUUAGAUUGCCGAAAGACAAACUGCUGCGAAAGCGUCUGCCAAGGAUGUUUUCAUUGA
rnacentral:rRNA from 1 species